GUCCCUGUGGCGCAAUGGAUUGCACGUUGGUAUUCUAAUCCAAAGAUUGUGGGUUCGAUUUCCACCUGGGAUG